rnacentral:rRNA from 1 species
UACGGAGGGGGCUAGCGUUGUUCGGAAUUACUGGGCGUAAAGGGCUCGUAGGCGGUCAACUAAGUCAUACGUGAAAUCCCUCAGCUUAACUGGGGAACUGCGUGUGAUACUGGAUGGCUUGGAUUUGGGAGAGGGAUGCGGAAUUCCAGGUGUAGCGGUGAAAUGCGUAGAUAUCUGGAGGAACACCGGUGGCGAAGGCGGCAUCCUGGACCAAUAUUGACGCUGAGGAGCGAAAGCUAGGGGAGCAAACGGG